rnacentral:tRNA from 1 species
AACGCUAUAGCUCAUUCUGGUAGAGCAAUCGAUCUGUAAUCGAUGGGUAGCCGGUUCGAAUCCGGCUAGCGUUA